rnacentral:lncRNA from 1 species
UGCUUAGUUUGCUAAAUAAAUAAAUAAAUAAAGUUUGCUAUGAACCCUCAUGAUAAGCUCUCACAUGGAAAUGAUGAAUAGUUGCUCUGCCAUGACUAGUUCUCAAAAUUGAAAUCUCUCUCAAGUUUGGGCAUGACUGUUAUGAAUUAAGAUUUCUGUAAACCUGAACUUGUGGGAAGAGUACUUGAUCUAAAGUCUAAGUCGUUAACGGAUAUGAUAUGGGAAGGUUGAGCUGUUGUUUUUCUGUUCCUAGAGAUGCUAGAUCUAGAAUUCUGGAGAAUUUUAUCUUUGAAAAUCUUUAAAAAUAACGGAUAUGAUAUGGGAAGGUUGAGCUGUUGUUUUUCUGUUCCUAGAGAUGCUAGAUCUAGAAUUCUGGAGAAUU